rnacentral:rRNA from 1 species
UACGUAGGGAGCAAGCGUUGUCCGGAAUCACUGGGCGUAAAGGGCGCGUAGGCGGCGCGGGAAGUCCGUGGUGAAAGCCCGAGGCUCAACUUCGGGUCGGCCAUGGAUACUCCUGGGCUUGAGCACUGUAGAGGCAGGUGGAAUUCCGGGUGUAGCGGUGGAAUGCGUAGAGAUCCGGAAGAACACCGGUGGCGAAGGCGGCCUGCUGGGCAGUAGCUGACGCUGAGGCGCGACAGCGUGGGGAGCAAACAGG